GGUUUAUGUCCUUUUCUUUCGCGCCUACUGGAAAUUUUAAUUCAAGAGAGGACGUUCAUGCAGAUGACUGUAGAAGUGAAAGUUUCCAACGACAGGGGCGAAGAUGUCACUUUAGAAGAACAUGGGCCAAGGCGAUCGGAGAGAAUCAAGAAUUGGGUAUGACAACAGUGGCGUCCUUACCCGCAGGGCAACAACUGGAAACAACAGGGGCAGAGGUUCGGGCAGUAUUCCAGAAUGAGGAGAUGAUUGAGAUCCAGAGAUCCCAGUGGCAGCCCAGCCUCAUUCCUCCCAGAUCAGCAACCAUUCACCAUCAUCGUCUGCAGCCCUUGGAGAUCUAGUCAGGGUCAGGAUGGUGGCAAUAGUUCUGUGCUCACUCCAGCAAAGUUUAACCUGGAAAGCCAUGAAUGUAACACAUUUUGAGAUCUGCUUGAAAAGUUAGUUGAAUUUGUUGAGGAGAGACACCUUCAACCCAUGCAAGACCUCCUUCAGUUGGUUACAGGCUCACUGAACCAGUCGGCAGCAUCCAUUGAGACACCAGAGGACUCCACUGUUACAUCACUGGGAUUCCCCAUUGCAGGUACAUAACCCAGUGGGAAUAUUUGAGGUCCUCUGGACUGGGGUGAGACCUGCUGUGACACCUCUUCACCCUCCACCUUUUGUAUCUGUUUGCCAUCUGUAUAUCUUGAAUCCCCCACUAGUGCCAGCCCACUGUAGCAUUUAUUUUAUGUUUUUUCCAUUCCUUAACCCCUCCCUAAGCCUCUCUCCUACAUACUCUUACCUUACUCCUUCUCUAACUUCCCUCUCAUGUAAAAAAACUGAAAAAAGGGGUGUCUGUUCCCUCUGAGAAACAUAAUACUCCUACUCUCCCACCUCCUCCAGCACAACCCUCUUUAUGUCUCCUUUUUGUGCACACCUUCUCUUUCCCCCACCUUUUUUUAGCUGUCCUACCCUCCCAUUUCCAACCCUAAUAAAGAUCCAAACAGGGUGUCCACAUAAAGGCACCCAUAUAUUCAGUACAUAACACUGUAUAUCUUUUUUUUUAAUUUACUUCUACAUAGCUGCUCUGAGUGACAUUUUCCUUAAUUGAGUGCCAGUAAUAUAUGCAGGCUUGCACAAGCCUGUGGUCACCUGUCAGUUCCGAAAAUAGUAGAAAGUAAUCAUCACCUUACACUCAAAUAGUAGCAUUUGCAUAUAAGCACUGUAGUUUUAAUCCAUUUUACAGGCUUACAGUCGACCCAAAUGCUUUUGGGUGCUUAUAUGCAGCCCCUGACUUUGGCAUAGUCAGUGUCACUAACUUCCACUGAACAUAUUUGCAUAAAGCACAGUGUGGUCUUCACUGUUUGGCCGUGCACACAUUCAUACUCUGUGACUAUGAUUACCACCCUUAGUUUGUUAAUCUAGUAAUCUGUAUGUUUAAUUUAUUCUGAUCCUUUCCUUACGG